rnacentral:rRNA from 1 species
AGCGCAACUGACGCUGAAGCUCGAAAGUGCGGGUAUCGAACAGGAUUAGAUACCCUGGUAGUCCGCACGGUAAACGAUGGAUGCCCGCUUUUCGGUCAUUAGACCGUGAGGCCAAGUGAAAACAUUAAGCAUCCCACCUGGGGAGUACGCCGGCAACGGUGAAACUCAAAGGAAUUGACGGGGGCCCGCACAAGCGGAGGAACAUGUGGUUUAAUUCGAUGAUACGCGAGGAACCUUACCCGGGCUUGAAUUGCAGAUGAAGGAUCCAGAGAUGGUGACGCCCUUCGGGGCAUCUGUGAAGGUGCUGCAUGGUUGUCGUCAGCUCGUGCCGUGAGGUGUCGGCUCAAGUGCCAUAACGAGCGCAACCCCUCUCUUCAGUUGCCAUCAGGCUAUGCUGGGCACUCUGGAGACACUGCCACCGCAAGGUGUGAGGAAGGUGGGGAUGACGUCAAAUCAGCACGGCCCUUACGUCCGGGGCUACACACGUGUUACAAUGGGGGGUACAGAAAGCCGGCUGCCCGCAAGGUCAGUCCAAUCAAGAAAGCCCUCCUCAGUUCGGACUGGGGUCUGCAACCCGACCCCACGAAGCUGGAUUCGCUA